CAUCUGGUCACAGCUUGAUCAGCACACACCCAUAUCUCAUGGGCAACCUGAUUUAUGAGCCUAAAAUCAUGGCUAACAAGCACCAUGCCACCAUCCCAUUCAUUCAAUGCCUCAGCCAAUGAGUCAAUUGUUUCUAUAUCCAAAUGGUUCGUUGGCUCAUCCAAAAGUAGCAGGUGAGGCUGUCUAUAAGCUAACCAUGCGAAUAUCACACGGCUCCUCUGCCCAUCGGAUAAAUUCUUCAUAGGCAUGACCUGCGCUUUGCCAGACAGUCCAAAUUUCCCAAUGGCUGCUCUCAUCCUCUCCUCCUCGUUUC
rnacentral:misc_RNA from 1 species